rnacentral:rRNA from 1 species
CCUACGGGGGGCAGCAGUCGAGAAUCAUUCACAAUGGGGGAAACCCUGAUGGUGCGACGCCGCGUGGGGGAAUGAAGGUCUUCGGAUUGUAAACCCCUGUCAUGUGGGAGCAAAUUAAAAAGAUAGUACCACAAGAGGAAGAGACGGCUAACUCUGUGCCAGCAGCCGCGGUAAUACAGAGGUCUCAAGCGUUGUUCGGAAUCACUGGGCGUAAAGCGUGCGUAGGCUGUUUCGUAAGUCGUGUGUGAAAGGCGCGGGCUCAACCCGCGGACGGCACAUGAUACUGCGAGACUAGAGUAAGGGAGGGGGAACCGGAAUUCUCGGUGUAGCAGUGAAAUGCGUAGAUAUCGAGAGGAACACUCGUGGCGAAGGCGGGUUCCUGGACAUUAACUGACGCUGAGGCACGAAGGCAGGGGAGCGAAAGGGAUUAGAUACCCCUGUAGUC